rnacentral:lncRNA from 1 species
UUUUUUUUUCUUUGUCAUCCUUUUGCACUUAUUCACAAUGAACUACCCUGAACUUGCUUGCACUUGCCUGCUUAGUGGCAUAUCAUGGCACUUCUAGUUAUUCGUCAUUCCAUUAUGCAUAUUUUAAUAAUAUAGUAAUUUCCGCCAUGUGCUAUAUUUUUAUUGAAUAACAUGGAUCAUUAUGCACUAAGGAGGAUAUAUAAUUUUCACACUUAAGCUUAAACUUACUAUAUCAAAGAGAUUUGGAGUCUGGUACUGCUGUACUGGUGCAUAUCAUCAUACUUAAGCAAUCAUAACUUGAUUUUCCUGAUAACCAUGGCUUUAUUUUUGUCAGUACAUCAGAUGGUCUGCGCAUGUUAUUCAGCGUUUGUCAUGUUUGUUGUUGUAAAUUGUAUAAUCUUAAUGAAACAAUCAGCUGAUGAAAUGAUUAUGUUUCAGCAUCCACCUUUGUUAUGCAGUCUAGUGUUGGUGUAGUGUUGGGUUCUGAUACUUAAGAUAUCUGUUAUGACUACUGAGCCUCUAGCUGCACUGUACAUCAGAUCCAUGCUGUGACAGAAUACUUAAAGUGGUUCAUGACUAUAUCUCUUGCUCAGUCUGCUGCACAUCCUCCACUUGAUUUUGAUCGACUCCUGUAAACAUAUCUGUAUUUUCUUGAUUAUGGUGCUUUAUUUUGGGGGACAGGCUAGUUCUGUUCUUCCCGCAGUUGUCCGUUCAGUUUUGGUCAUUUUUAUAGUCAAAUAACAGGCUGAAUCAUAUAAUCUCUUCAAUAGACAUCUGAUUACUUGUAAGGAAGAGUAUUCUUCAGGAGAACCAAGAAUCAAUAUGUUAUUAUAUACAUGCAUCGUCUUACAUUUUAAGUGGAUGUGUACUCACCUUCUCUUACAUGCCAAUGCAGGUUUGCACACAGCGGUCAUGGAAGAGGCCUUAUGGUGUUGGCCUCCUUGUUGCUGGACUGGAUGAGUCUGGAGCUCAUCUCUAUUACAACUGCCCCAGCGGGAACUACUUUGAGUACCAGGCAUUUGCCAUCGGUUCUCGCUCCCAAGCUGCCAAGACUUUCCUCGAGCGCAGGUUCGAGGGCUACAACGACUACACCCCAGAGCAACUCAUCAAGGAUGCCCUCUCUGCCAUUAAGGAGACUCUGCAAGGCGAGAAGCUGACCAGCUCCAACUGCACUGUGGCCAUCGUCGGCAGGAAGGACGACGGCACCCUUGAGCCGUUCGAGAUGAUUGACGCGAAGAGGAUCCAGGAGAUAAUCGACUCCAUGGAGGCUGUUGAGGAGGCGCCUGCGGAGCCCAGCUCCAUGCAGGAGGAGGAAAGGGGCUCGGACGCUGCUCCCAUGGACAUCUAGACUGGAAUACACCUCAUAUGAACCCUCUACCCGGCAUUCCGAGUUUCCAAAGACUAGACUAUUUUAGAAAGUUGUGUUGUGACUCUUGUGUACGAUUUGCUUCCAUGCUUCGGCUUUGCGACGGUCUCUUUGACCAACAGUUGGGUUUGGACUGAUUAUUUUAUCAUGUGACGUGAACAAAUCGUUUCGUUCCGGAGGCCGUCCUGACUUUGCAUAUCAGUUGUGCCUGAGAUGAUCAUGCUCUGGUUACUGGUUUGAUACAUGGUUUCCUGCUGGCACUGGCAGUCCCAGCUUACAGUUUCGCAAUCGCAAACCUUAGAGCUUGAUUCAUUUGUGGUUGACUGGUUGCUCAUGUUUUUUUUACGUGCCUCAUCUGGUAUAUACACAUAGACACGCCAGCCUACACGACACGCACAUGCACAACUCACUCGAAGCAUAUUCAUAUAACCAUACUUGCAACUACACUCGAGGCACAUUCAUUUAACUCCUUAGAUAAAGAUAGAGCGCGCGUCACAUUCUCCUUGUGGGUUCACACGAGAGAGGCUGCAAACUUUUUGCUCGGCUUGAUGGCCAUGGGUGCCAGCCUGCUGCGGCAGCACGGGCAUUUCCAAAUUCCAAAAGUGUGAGCAUUGCCGAGAGAGUGGUGUCAGCACUACUCCAGAAAUCGUUUUGAUCAGACAGAAACGGCGCAAAGAUUUCGAAUAGAUCAGGACCGCCCACCGCCGUGAUCGUACGGCCAGGAAAAAAAUCACGAACCCUGACACUCCAAGGAAACUUCGUAAUGCGGCAAGACCGCCUUUAUUCCCCAAAGCCGCGGGCGGUCUGGACAAAGCCCAAGAUAAAAGGAAUGGAACGCCUCCGGCCACGACACGAGCGCUCCUCUCGCCGCACCCGAAAUCCGCCGCCACCGCCGUCCAGAGCCCCAUCCCGCCUCCCCGGCGGCACUCCGAGGCUAGGCGGGUUCCGAGCGCCGCGCCGCGGCCCCUCGUGGUUUUGCGGCCGCGGGGUGCGAGUGCGAUCCUAGGCAGCGAAGGGGUCGGCGGGGAGGAGGAGGGAGGACACGAGUGAUAGCCCCUCCCCCGCCCGCCUCCUGCAAUAAUUAUUUGCUGCGCGCAGGCGCAGGUCGGUUUCGAAUUCGCCAUUUGCCGUGCCGACCAAUAACCGAUGGCCCCGCGCGCCGCCCUCCCCCUCCUCCUCCCCGCCGCGCUCGCGGUGCUGCUGCUGGUGGCGGCCUGCUCCGCGGCCCCCGGCGUCUUCCAGGUGCGCCGCAGGUUCCCCGCCGGUGGAGGCGCCGCCGCGCUCCGCGCCCACGACGGGCGCCGGCACGGCCGCCUCCUCGCGGCAGCCGACCUCCCGCUCGGCGGCCUCGGCCUCCCCACCGACACCGGGUACGUGCCAGCACUGGACUGCCGCUCCUCCUGCUCGGCGGCGCGCGCUAGCUAGUGUACUUUUCGUGGAUUUCUCCGCGGUGGGUGGCUGAUUCGGUUGUUGUGGGGAUUGCUGGGUCGGCCGGACCGCCGCGCGCAGGCUCUACUUCACGGAGAUCAAGCUCGGGACGCCGCCCAAGCGCUACUACGUGCAGGUCGACACCGGCAGCGACAUCCUCUGGGUGAACUGCAUCUCCUGCGACCGAUGCCCCCGCAAAAGCGGCCUCGGGGUACCGUCCGUUCCCCACUUCCGCGUCCACUCUUUUGUUGUUGGGGGUUCUCAAUUGCAGAUUUGUGCUCACUUCGAUGUGACAUUGCGGUGUGGGCGUUGCUGUGCAGCUAGACCUGACGCUCUACGACCCCAAGGCGUCCUCGAGCGGGAGCCCGGUCUCGUGCGACCAGGGGUUCUGCGAGGCCACCUACAAGGGCAAGCUGCUGGGGUGCAGCGCCAACAUGCUCUGCGAGUACAGCGUCAUGUACGGUGAUGGCAGCUCGACGACGGGGUUCUUCGUCACUGAUGCGAUGCAGUUCGACCAGGUGACCGGGAAUGGGCAGACGCAGCCUGGAAACGCCAGUGUCACAUUUGGGUGAGUCCCUGUUUCGGUUUGUCGCGUUACAAUCGUUUUCGUAUGAGAUAAUGUUGGACCAGCGGACAGCCCACAUUGGAUCAGUUAUUAUUAGCUCUACCUGUGUCAUCAUAGAUGUUGGAUACAUAAUCAAACUUCGGAUGUUUAUGCUGAAAAGCUUUAUCAAUUACAUGACGUGUAUGUGAGGAAACAAUGUGCAAUUACUCUAUAUUUCUACUUGCAUUGUGUGGCAAAUUUUUCUAGGUAGGAUUUGAACUUGUUAUUAUGCUGUCUCAAAAGAUUCUUGACCAAUACCACAAAGAUAGCUAAUAUGAUUGUGUGACCAUGAGCUUGAAUUUUUUAUGCUCAGUGUGGAGUAAUCAAAUUGUAUUCUUUGCCCUUUGUCUUGGCUUGUGCUAUUACUUCAUUAAAAAGUUAGGUAUCAGGGAAGGUACCUAACUCUGCUGUUGGGUAUACUAUAUUCAUCACUUACUUUUCGUCAAUAAGAUUACAGCACAGGAACUAACUAGGAGACAAGGUUCAAUCAAGGCAUUAAUAUGUGUUGAUAGUGCUGAAAACUUCAGUGGGGAUAACUGAUUCUCCUUUCCUUUGUAGGUGUGGUGCUCAGCAAGGUGGGGAUUUGGGAAGUUCAAACCAAGCUCUCGAUGGAAUUCUUGGUUUUGGCCAGGCAAAUACAUCAAUGCUAUCGCAGCUAGCUGCUGCUGGUAAAGUUAAGAAGAUAUUUGCUCAUUGCUUGGAUACCAUAAAUGGAGGUGGAAUUUUCGCUAUUGGAAAUGUGGUGCAGCCAAAAGUAAAAACAACACCGUUGGUAGCUGACAUGUAUGUAUGUUAACCUUGCCGUAAUAAUUGUUAUUUUGGUUGCAUUACACUCAUGGUGAAUCUGUCUGGAACUGAGUUCUAUGUUGAUAUUCUCUAUUAGUUAAUGUUCAAUUCCUAAAACUUGCUUCAGAACACAGGAUGUUUAUCACUUCUGUACAGGGAACCACAAAAGUGACUUAUAUUCGCUCCUGCAUAUGAUAUAAUACAAAAUGAACAAUCACUGUUAUUUUGCCAAACUAAAAGCUCUAGCUGGACUUAAAGAGAAGUUCCAUGCCACUUUGCUUAGUGUCCAACUAACAAGGAAAAAUGAUAUGAGAACUGGAAUGAAUUUGAUAUUAGAGCAUGUACGAAGAAAAGAAAGAUAGAUGUAUAUUAGAUCUGCUUGUUAGACAAAUGUUCUGUCUGCUAUCACUGGCAUUCAUGUCAUGUUACAAACAGAUGUUUCACCAAUGUCGCUUUGCUAAUAACGCUUCCUGUUCCUUUUUGUUUUUGCCCAUGGCCUCUUUUGAACACACCAUUGUUUUUUGGGGGUUUAAAUCGGUAAAUGUCUUUAUCAAUGGCAUUAUAGCAAACUUUUUAUGAAUGCGCAAUUCUUGGCACAUAGAGCAGUUCUACUUGAUGUGCAAUACAGUGCAGCUGGCUUUUUCACUUAAUUUAUACCAUACUCAUAGGCUGUCAAAAUUUUACCUUCCAGGCCGCACUACAAUGUGAACCUUGAAUCAAUUGAUGUUGGUGGUGCUACAUUACAGCUACCAGCUCAUGUUUUCGAAACAGGAGAGAAAAAAGGUACCAUUAUCGACAGUGGUACAACCUUGACAUACCUUCCAGAAUUGGUUUUCCAAGAAGUAAUGUUUGCGGUACGACAAAGAUCCCGUGCUAUUUCUUCCCUUGUAAUUGAGGAUGAUAUGUAUACUUUACAUAUUAUAUUUCUCAACUGAUUGUAGGUAUUUAAGAAGCAUCAAGAUAUAAAAUUCCACAAUGUUCAAGAUUUUAUGUGUUUCCAAUACUCUGGAAGGUACACUUUACAUACAAUAUAACUACAGUUGGAUGAGUGUCAAUUAUUAAUUACAAUUUCUUCUACGCUGCAUUUCUUAUAUGCUGAAAUAGUCAUCAUAUUGAAAUUCUGAUAUCGAUAAUGCCCUCUCGUACUUCUUUCAUGAAUGGACAACUUCUUUUCGUCAUACUUUCUCUGUUUUCAUUUGCAUUGACACAAAGAGGAAUAACCAGCCCACAGAUAAUUUUCUCCUGCAAUGAUUAUGAUUCUAACUGACGUAUUCCUUUCUCUUGCAGUGUUGAUGAUGGUUUCCCAACUAUCACCUUCCAUUUUGAGGACGAUCUUGCACUGCAUGUGUAUCCACAUGAGUACUUUUUCCCAAAUGGGGUAACAUGACAUUUCUCUCCUGGUGGUAUAUUCAUGCAAGAUAGACUACAGUUUUAUUCACCCAUUGGCAUUGCUUCAGCAUGUUACAACUUGCAGCAAUUACUUGAAUAUGGCUUCAGUGCCCCCAUCUGCUUUUGCUCCCUUUUGGGUGAAGCACAUGUUAAAUGGUUAAAAAAACACCUUUCGUAAUAUCACAUUUGUCAUUGGUAACCAAAAUGAAGAAUCAAUUAACUAACUUUACUGUAUAAAAAUAUAUGAUGCAGCUACUGGCAGAAACAAAUUUCAGCCCUUUGCUAUUCUUUUAGUUCCAUUGUUUCUUUGUUAGGGGUUUCUGUUCUCCAAAAAUUUCUGAAGCAUUCCAUAUCAAACCUCUAGGCUGAUUCUUUUUUUACUUCUUUUAAUAGUGUCUGUUUGUCCUUGAUGAGAAAGAAUUUUGUUUAAUUCAAGAGCUAUUCUUUUGGAUAAAGGUGUUAUAUCAAACUAAGGAAAAAUUGUCGAAAUACCUCUAGUGAAACCUAUUUUUCCGAAAUGCCAUUGAGCUCUGUCAGUGACUGAUGGGAGCCUGGUCCCACAUGUCAUUGAGGCAUUCAAUGGAAUGUUGAAGUGCAACUUCAGUAAUGGUAUAGUGCCAAUUUCCCAAACUCUGGAAUUACACAAUUGAUCAGACCAUGGUUAUCACCCAUUCUUUUGCUUCAAAAUUAGUAAAGUACAUAUGUAGCACAUCUAGCUUAUUGUGCACUAGUUUGUAUAUGUAUAUAUUUUCUUUAUUAUAUGUUUGUUGCUGGAAGCUCUUCUCUUUUGGGAAGAUUAAGCCAUUAUUUGAACAGAUACAUGACGUUUAAACUUCUAUCCGGUUAAAGCCUCUAUGCUGCAUACUCUACAAUAUACGAUAUAUCGUUAAAAGUUGUUUCCAGUAGAAUGUUAAUCAAAGUCUGAUAUUUUUGGGUUCUAGCCACAACAAUGGUUCGAAACAACAGUGAUUAUGAGUGCUUCACGAAAAAUAUGUGGCCAUGACUCUUAUGAUCCCACGUUUUUCUUUUGUUGGAGCAGAAUGAUAUAUACUGCGUGGGAUUCCAAAAUGGUGCAUUACAACCAAAGGAUGGAAAGGACAUUGUGCUUAUGGGAGGUCAGGGUUUCACUGGAUUAGCAAAUUCCUUUCGUUUUAAAUUGCUGUGUUUUUGACACGACUGUAUGUUUUCUUCCAGAUCUUGUUCUUUCAAACAAGUUGGUUGUCUAUGACUUGGAAAAUCAAGUCAUCGGGUGGACUGACUACAACUGUAAGUGCUAGCAUGUUCAAACUGCUCAUUCUAAGUUCAUUUCAUAGUAGCUUACAGCUGUACUUUGCUGUUAUCCUUUUGGACAUAUUGACUUUUUUUUUCCAACUAUAUUCCAUGAAACCUGGAACCAUGAGCUUGCACAGAAUAAUUUAUAUUCUCUACCCAUCAAUUGCCUUUUUAUUUUUUUUAUUUUUCUGGUUAAAGAUAAUUUCAUCUUUUUUGAAAUAAAGAGAGGGAAAAAUGAAAAAAUGCCAUGGUUGGUUAGUGCAAGCAUUGCUUGCUCUGAAUUGUGAAAAAGUACUACUCAUGGGUUGCCUUUUAUUUCUUAUUAUCCGCUUGUAAUUUCAGGUUCAUCGAGCAUUAAAAUUAAGGACGACAAGACAGGCGCAACAUAUACCGUCAAUUCACACAAUAUCUCCUCCGGAUGGAGAUUCCACUGGCGCAAGUCCCUGGUUCUGUUGUUGGUAACAGUUGUUUGCGGCUAUUUGAUAUGCUAACUCUGUUGUACAACACGGGCACGGAACACUGAUGGAAAUUCAUUUGAUUCAUAUUCUUUUCAUGAAAGAAAAGGAAAGGUAGGGCCUUAGAUUGUGUUGUUGUUGUCUGACCACGGAAAACAUUGAAAACAGAAACAUUGUACACUACACAGUGAGCCUUUGUAUGACUGGUGUAAUGCUGAGGUGGGAAAUAUGGCUGCACGUAAUUUAAGUUUCCCAUAAGAAAAGUUGUGUGUCAAAUAUAUAUCUUCUCUUUUGUUUGCAGUACAGGAAUGUUUAGGUAUGAACUUAUUUCUGCUGUUUUUGAUACAGUAAUGUUUUUUACGACCCCAGAGACUGGGUUGGAAAAGCCGGUCCCGGUUUUUGCCCACUGAACUCAUUCUGGGUCUGGUAUACUUGUCUCAUAAUUCUCAUCCACUCAGAAUCAUAUGUUGCAAAUCCAAACAUAAAAGCUGACAAAGGAUUGAGAACCAUGGAAAUGCACGUACUGUGCGAGUGCUGUGGUGAUCCAUUUCGCUCGGUUGAUGGCAUGCCCAUGGGGUGCCAGCUGAGCUGCUGCGGCAGCACGGGCAUUGCCUUCCGGGAGAUGCGUGUCACAUUCCUUUGUGCUACUCGCCUGGCGUAUCCGCGUAUCACAUGUUUCUUCUUUGGAGCACGACAGAUUCCACUUCUACCCAUUACUGUAUACUAUCAUGUGCAGUAUGGUGUGAUCACUCGGGGAAAUGGGUAUGGUUGCAACUACCGGAAAUGGAUGGGGCUGCGUGUUAGGAAUGCAGAUUUGAAUUUGAACAUUCUAGGAUUUUAGCGCGGGAGCAUAGAAAAAUAUGUAGGGAUCGCACCGUGUGAGGGGUCCUUAGCCAUCUUACAUCAAAGAGAAUUUUAUCAUUUAGGAGUAUUAAAUAAAAUUUAAUUAUAAAAUUAAUUGCAGAACCCCUAACUUAAUUCGCGAGACGAAUCUAAUGAGGUAUAUCAUUCAUGAUUAGUGGAUUAUAUCUUAAUUAGUCUUAUUAAAAUUCAUCUCGCGAAUUAGCACCUAUUUAUAUAGAAGGUUUGUAAACAAAUUUUAUUUAAUAUUUCUAAAUAUUAAAAACUUUUUUAAUGUGAUAGAGCUAAACUUUAGCGCUCUGAAACCAAACGGACCUUUUAAGACUCGGGAGUUGGGGUCGUGGGAACGUUGGAAUGGAGAGGUAAGAAUGGUACGAAGAUGGUUUCGGAAAUGUUGUCUAGAUCGUCUAAGCAAAACAAAACUAAACUCCGGACUGAGGCAAACACCACUUGCUUAAACACACACGUGCGCCCACCCAAGGGCUUUAACCCAACAUCGCAUGUUCCCUAGCGCCGGGAGACGCCGCCGCACAGUCUGGAUGAUACAGUCCAGUGAUACAGCCAGCCAGCCUGCAAGGCUGCAAGCAAGGAUGCAACUGGGCAGGGCCCGUACCCAAUUGAUGGCGAAUUAACUGCGGCCAUGUGUGCCUCAGCCGUCUCCCACGAGGGAGCCACCGUGCUGACGCCAGGGCCCCGCCGCCGCGCGCGUGGACCCCGCGCGUCAGCGGCCGCGAGCGCCUGCGCCGUCAUAAACCCCCGUCUCGUCGUCCUCGCCUUCCGCCAGUUCGCCGUCGCCUCACGCCACCGCAGCAGUCAGCAGCCAUGGCGGCGGCGGCCUCCUCCGCCCGUCUCCUCGCCGCGGCCGCCGUCACGGCCGCGGGGUACCGGCGCGCGGUGCUCGGGCGCGUCCCGGUGGCAGCCUCCCUCUCGUUCCCCCGCGGCCACACCCCGCCAUUCCGCGGCCGGGCAGGCCUCUCCUGCUCCGCCGCCUCAGCCUCGCUCUCCCUCCCCUCCACCGGCGGCGGGUGCUCGCCGCCGGGCUCCGUGCCCUUCAACCUCCUCCCGCCGGACUCCGAGCCCUUCAUCGAGUGGGACCCGCACCCGGCCGACUCCGCCGCCUCGCCGCUCGGCGGCGGCGGGCCCGGGGAGGGCGCCACGCUGGUGGUGCUCCUCGGCUGGCUCGGCGCGCGCCAGAAGCACCUGCGCCGCUACGCCGACCUCUACCGCGAGCGCGGGGUCGGCGCGGUGCGGUUCGUGGUGCCCGUGCGCGAGCUCAUCGGCCUCGACCUGGGGCGCCGCGUCGAGAGCAGGGUCGCCGAUCUCUCCGACGAGAUCGCCGCCUGGUGCGACGCCGACCGCCGCCGCACGCUCCUCUUCCACACCUUCAGCAACACCGGGUGGAUCGCGUAAGGCUCCCCAACUCGUCUCCUCCCCCCUCUUCGCUUCACGCAAUAUCGCCAAGCUCUUAAUGCUAUUCUUCAGCUAUCAAUUGGAAUGCUCAAAAGCGGAUAGUGACUUGUAGAGCAUUUUACUGACGUAUGCAUUGCAUGGGUUUCUCUUUCAAUGCAAACUGGCAUGGGGGCUCGAGCAUGUGGUGUGGCACGUUUUUGUUAUGAAACUUUGGUUUCCUACAUGAGAUUGCUGGAUAGAAUGUGCUCGAUUCAUGAGGCAUAUCUUCACUGAAUAUGCCAUGAGUUCGAUAGGAGCAUUUAGUACGGUACCACAUCCAUUUCUAGUUGGAAAACUAAAAGUGGUUCUGCCAGCCUGCAUAGGAAAAAAUCUCAGUGGUCUGUUUGGUGUUCUCGUUUGGUGUAUUGUAGAAUGGAUCUCCUUGUGAUUCUCGAAGGUAUGUGUUUCCACUCCCAGUGGUUAAUGUAGUAGAAAUGGCGAAAGUGAGCAGAAAGGACUGAGUUCGGGUAAUUGCUUGAAGAACAGACUAGAUAAGCAUUAGCCGCUAACUACGUUGAAUAAACAGAACGAAAAAUUCUUGAUAUUUAUGAUGCCACGCUGCUGAUUUUGGGGUGAUGCUCACAUUGUUACUUUGUGCACAAUUUCCUUAUGGCGAUCUGUUAUGUAGCAAUUGUGUUAUGAAACUUAUGGUUUCUUAUUAAAGUUAAUGUGCUUACUUACUUGUUGUGCUGAAAUACAUUCGUGGCUGGAUUUGGUCCUUAUUUUUGCCAUUGAAACUUGAUACUUUGUAUUUUAUUAUAAUAGCUUCAUUUUGGGAUAGUUCAGUUGAAUAUUCUGCAUCUAGUCAAGGAUGUGUUCCCAUUAAUCUUACUUGGAAUCCUAGUAGAUCCUUUACUUGAUUCUUUAAUCUUUUAUCUGGCGUUCAUGCCAUUAAAUUUACUGUGCAUAAAAACCUUUGUGUUUUAUUUUUACUUUCUUUCCAGCUAUGGUGCCGUACUGGAGAAUCUACAAUCCAGAGCUGACAUAACUGAGAGAAUAAGAGGAUGUAUUAUAGACUCUGCACCAGUUCUAGAGAUAAGACCAGAGGUUUGUGUACCUGUCUUUUUUUCUUACGGAAUCAGAUUUUGAAUUAAAGUAAUUAUUUAACUGUUAGUAGUGUUCCGAAGUUCUCCAUACAUUUAGCAUGUAGACUUUUCUAUCUGGAUUAUUUUUGUACCCUGAACUAUUAUUGUGUCUACAAUGGUUUCUGCAUAGCAUUCUGGACAAUUAAGCUUGUUUGCUUGAAAGUUCUCAUUUAUAAGUUAAACUCAGGUCUGGGCUGCUGGGUUCUCUGCUGCAAUGUUGAAGAAAAGUAGUUCCAUGACAGGUCCUUCAACUGAGUCUCUUGAUGGGCCUAUUGUAAAUGGCACCUUGAACACAGUUAACUCUAAUGUGAUGCAACCAUCAUGGGGCGAAUGCUUUCUUCUGUCAACUCUGCAGAAAUUCUUUGAAAUGGUUCUUCAUGUGCCUGAUAUAAACACGUAAGUCCAUUUGCUGUUUUUAGUCACUGCUCUGUUUAAGUAGCAUGGACAGCUCAUAUAUUUGUGCCAAGCAACAGUCAUCAAGGUUUAUCCACUAAAAUUGACAUGGCUAUUCUGUUGAUCUGAUGUUACAUGUCUUUUAGUUUACACUGAUAUUAAUACUAUACUAUUUAAAAUCCAUGAAGAACUGCAAUAGUAUGUUCAGUACAAAAGAAGUAAAGCUAUAUGAGUGCCUCUUAAUCUCUUAUCAAGUAUUGCUCCAUGCACUGAAAGGAGUCGGAAAUAAUAGACUCAGCCCAUAGACACCAGAUUCUUCUUUCAGUUCUAUCUUUUUCUUCUCAAUUCAAUCAAAUUUGUCCUGAAUCUUGUCUCCUUCGUAACAACAACUAAUAUGAGCUUUUAGCAAAGUAAAUUACGAUGAUUUACCAAACUGGUUUGUGCAGAGUACAUUAAAUCAGAGUAAACUAGCUCUGAAUGACGGUGAAUGGUUAAGGAACAUAAAAGAAAUAUACUCAUUGUUUAUAGCAGAAAGGGGCUGCUUCAUAUAGUUAAUUUCAUUCAUAGUGUCAUUAUUUUCUCCUUUUCUUUGAUGUAUUUGUUUUCCUAUUUGAUUCCUUGAGGGCAUUGUUGGCUCAUCACUUUUUCAUGUAGAUUCAAUAUAUUUGGUUUUUCUUUCUCCAUGCGUGCAAAAUGGAUGUGAUGUCUUCUCUAUUACCUGAUAUGUUUCACAACUUGCUGAUCCGUUCAGGCGACUGCGCAAGGUUCUGUCAGUUCUUUCAGACAAGCAGCCUCCAUGCCCCCAGUUCUAUCUGUACAGCUCAGCCGACCGAGUCAUACCAGGUGAAUGUGUCGAGAGCUUCAUGGACUUGCAAAGAUCGCUAGGGCGGAGCGUAUACUCCCACAAUUUUGUCUCCUCGCCCCAUGUGGACCACUACCGGAGCUUCCCACACAUCUACUCUGCUAAGAUCGACGAGUUCCUGAAGAUCUGCUCCACAGUCAAAGUAUCAGUAUCAUGACCCGACCCGCCUUCAACUAGCAGGCCUGUCGAACAACUUCCUGAUUUUUGUUGUAUUCUUGAGCUGGAGCCGCUGUAAUCUCACCCUGAGAGACACACAUAAUUCGGUGAAUAUCUUUGUCCGUCUUCUUGAAGCCUUGGAGGAUGCGCUCGUUGAAAGGAAUAUGUGUGAGUAAAGCCUUUUUCGCGCUCCUCUUUUUUCUACCCUUGUCCUAAGAACAUAUAGCUGUUUUCCCCUCUGAUCGUAGGCUCCUGGAGAGGAAGUGUACUGUAUCAUGAUUUUUUGAAGGCGUACUCUAAACUGAACGCCAUUGUGUAAUUCAAGUGACAUUGAAGUUUUAGAGUGCCUGAAUUCGAGGCAACAUCAACAUGUACUCGUUUCCGAUCAGCAUGGCUUCAUCUUGUGGCACGCUGCACCCAUCCCGGCGUGUCCUGCUUGUUGUUUGUGCUCAGCUUGAUCCCAUUGUACUAUAUUUUAUCUCUCAUCUCUGCCAUGUCCUAACGCAGCUGCAGAAGGGAUCCCUUGUUCGAUUCGAUCGCGGCCGCUGCAGCUGCGGCGCGGCCAGGUUGGUGUCUGUAUCUGUAACCCUCACGUUGUUGGAGCGGCCACCACCGAACAGCCUACAGCUAGGCUCUUGGCGUCGCCUUGCAGGUGCCGAUCGAGGCGAUGGCCAGGUCAAAACCAAGGCGACCGUAGGGCGGCGCGGCAAUAUAAGCGGCAGCCGCGACGCCACACGCGCGAGGCACGAGCCAACCACCCCUCCGGUUUGUUUGUUGCGCGCGCUGCAGCGUCGAGGCCCGAGGCGUGCGCAAGCCAUGGCCAUGGAGGAAGGAUCAAGAGGAGGAGGAGAGGAAGAAACUGUUGCCGUGGGCACGGUGGCUGAUGCUGCUGCCGCUGCGGACGCCGUUGUCGUCCUGGGGCCAAACGACGACGACGGGAAGGAGGCGGUCGAGGGGAGAAGGCCGGCGCCGGCAGCCACUGCCGCCUACGCGGCCGUCGUGAUCGGGGGCACCUUUGACCGGCUGCACCAGGGCCACCAUCUCUUCUUGAAGGUAUGGCUCGCCUUCCAUCUUUGUCUUCCUCUGCUUUGUCUUCUGCUCUGCCUGCCUGUCGUGUUACUUUCAUCAUCCAGUUCAUGCGGCAACCGAACUGAAAAGUACACGCUCCAUGGCUAGAAGCUGCAUUAGUUCUUCGGCUUUUCGGAAUAAACUCAAAUCAUCUGUGAUCGCAGACAUGGCGUCUUCUGUCUUUUCCCGCGUCACGUAAACCUCGAUCAGUUCAUCGUUUCAUCCGUGCUCACUGCUAAAAGUUGAUCUCGGUGGCAUGCUUUGUCCGUUUCUCUUCUGUCCCAUUGCUUCUUCUUGUUCUUGGUGGUAGUUGAGCGAGCCUCGAUGGAAGAAGAAAGAUUCGUUUCCUUUUCUUUUCGUUUAUAAUUCUUUAUAAUUCAUCAAAGAAAUAAGAAUAUUCUCUCAUAUAUAUAAAUAAAGAAAUAUUCGUUUGCUUGACAAAACGUGGCAGGCGGCGGCGGAGCUGGCGAGGGAGAGGAUCGUGAUCGGCGUCUGCGACGGCCCGAUGCUCGCCAAGAAACAGGUUUGCUCAUUGCUUUUGCGUCAUUGGUCUAUGCACCAUCCAUAGUACUAAAAUAAAGCUCGCUUCUACUCCAAGGGCACUUGAUGCUGAGCGAGCGCCACACUUGCUUCUACUCUAAUGAACCUUGACCGCACAGUCUCUAGAAUUCAAUUGCAACUGAUGCCACAGUGACAUCUACUAAGAUGUCUUAACUCUCAACUCAUACCAUCUGAUGGCAUACUGCGUAUCCGUAGGUUCGUUGUUUCAAAUUAUUGGGCAUGCCAUUUGGAAUGCCAAGGAUUACUACUACAACACACUAGCCAAUGAGCACAAUGGGACCCAGUGGUGUCUGGUGGGCUGGCCAGUGAGCCAGUGCAAUCAGAGACGUCAGACGACAGGAAUAGGGCGAUAUCAGUCACUGAACCAUGUCAUAAUCCAAUAAAGGCCUAAUUGAAACAUGUAGGUGGGCGGUUCUACGGAUUGCAGUUGCGCAAGUUCAUUGAACAUGGACAGGUUCCAAAUUCAAUGGCGAAUUUGGUAGGGGUUAAGUGGUGGCAUAUUCCCUUCAAAGCAUGCAUGUGAGCCACGCAUGGUCAUUGCAUGUUCAUAAGAAUCUAGACCCUUUUUUUAUGGGUAUAGAAAUCUAAUGGGCAUCUUUCGCUUUGGUCACCUUUUUCCAUGCAGUAUGCCUACCUGAUACAGCCAAUCGAGAAGCGGAUGGAAAAUGUCAAGGAUUAUAUUAAGGUACCCACAUGAUCCAAAACUUCUCCUAUGUUGGUUGCCUGGAAGUUUCUUUAUGCAAUUCCAAGUAGAUGUACAUCAGUAGGCAUUCCCAUCCUCAAGCUGCAAGUAUCAAAACCCAAGUACAACCAUUUUUGUUGUUAGUGCACUCUGCAAAAUCUUUAUAAGACUACAUGUUGAAGGAUUCAUGCACAUCGGUGUGCUUUGGGCAAUAGAUUGUUAGCAGAUACCAUGAUGCUGUGCAGCUGUCUUUAACACUCACUCUUUCCACUUGCAGUCUAUCAAGCCUGAUCUUGAGGUUCACGUAGAGCCAAUAGUGGACCCUUACGGCCCCUCCAUUGUUGACGAAGGUCUUGAGGCCAUCAUUGUCAGGUUAGGAUUCUCUUGCCCUACAUAUUAUUUUCUGUUAUGGUCCAUCUUAUUUGCCCAACAGUGCCUGACCAAAUCUUAAAGCUGAUGUUGUACGUCAGCAAAAAAUAAUUCUGUUUAUUUAAAAUCCGUUUGUAUUCAAUUCUUGAGGCAGCAAGGAGACAUUGCCGGGAGGCCUCGCUGUCAACAGGAAGAGGGCAGAGAGAGGCCUCACACAACUGCAGGUUUGUUUGCAACUAUGAAUUGCUAUUUCUUUUCUUUGAAAAAAAAAGAAAGAGUAUGUUCAGAGAUAGUUGCCUUCGACCCUGCAGAUUGAAGUAGUAGAACUGGUGCCAGAGGAAGCUACGGGGAACAAGAUCAGCUCAACAGCUUUCAGAAAGUUGGAAGCUGAGAGAGAAUUACAGCACCAGCAAGAGACACAGCAGCAAACAGCAGCCCAACUGGAGUGCAGAACGUAGCCGUUCAGUUAUUUUAGUAUUUUCAAGUUCACUGAGCAGAAUAACGCACUACACCAAUUGUGAAUUGUAUUUUUCACUUUUUUAUGAAGAGCUGAGCUACACUCAUCCAGGUAUAGCAGAAUGCCCACCUAGUAAAGGACUGUAACGAGCAAAUUUAGGCAAAAACAACAAAACUUAUGAUGAAAGAAGCACAAGACAAGGAUGACAAAAGUACAUUUCGUAAUACUAGACAUUGUUCAGAUGCUAACGUUUGAACAAAUCGAAAUUUACACUGUUGCACACACAGAAUAAUUUACAAAUUAGGGCAAUUUUCUACGCCAUUGGCUAAAACAUCUAUCCUGAUCUGCCACCUAAAAAACUUAUCCUUUACAUGCCAUUGUCCAUAAAUUCUAAAAUCUUCCAUGCCGUUGUUGACUUGACUCAGGUAGUCUUUGCUAACAGAGAGCUCAAAAGGACCCUUAAGGCC